rnacentral:lncRNA from 1 species
CUCUUCUGUCAGCAGAGGCUGAAAAUGCUUCCUGCGUUUUGUACAACGUGGCCUGAGGAAGGUUUAUGGCUUUUUUUAAGUGAAAAGAGCUGUGAGCUUGAGGAAGUUUGACAGUGCCAUGCUAUUUAUUCUAACUCUUGCAGUCAUUGGGCAAAUGGCAGGUCAAGAGAGUUGAAAGGUGCAGGCAUGGUGUGCUGAAGAGGAUGCUGAACAAUCAAGGAGAAACACUGCAGAGUGCGCUGAGAGCGUUUGCAAGGUGAUGGCAUGGGUAUUGCUGAGUUUACAUUUCGAUGUGACCAAUAUUUUACAGAUCUGGAUCCAUUGCAGCUGACAAAGCCAGAGAGCACAUGGACCUGGCAAUGAUAGAUAUGGAUGCUGUGCAUACCGUACAUGGGGAGGACAAGAACUGCAAUGUAGCCACCUCUGAGGAGGCAGCCACCAGCAAGACACAUAUUGUGGGGAACACGCUUGAAGCUCCCAUGAGUCCUUCUGAUGCCACUGGUCCUCAGGGCAAAGGGGAUAUUAAUGAGAGAUAAUGCAGCAGGUAAGGUGAAUUAUUUCCACCUGAGAGGU